UAUUACCCAUUCAACACAAUCACAGCUUUAAGAGUCACCGACCCACUUAACAAUUUUGGUCUAAUCAUACGGUUAAGUUUUGUCACUUAGUGUAAAUUGAUAAAAUUUUGUCGUGUAGCGAUAAGCUGUGAAGUGUCUUUGUUUGGUUAGUAUAAUCGAUCGGCUAGGAAAUUCUAAACUGCUAGCAUAAAGUCUUGUCACAAUCGAAUAGACGACUCAAUCGGCUAGCAUUCACUUGAUCGGCUUGCAUAUCCUUGGAACGAACAGCAAAAGUGCCAACCGAUCGGCUAGCAAGUGCCAACCGAUCGGCUAGGAAGUGACUUGAAUCGAACAAGAAAUUUCUACUCGAUCGAACAGAAGGUUGUGUGAAUCGAGUAGGUAACUCGAUCGAACAGCUGUUCGAUCGGCUAGAAAGUCGUUUCAUCGAACAGCUACUCGAACGACUAGGAUUCAUUUGAUCGGAUAGGAAAAUUCUGUUCGUUCGGCCAGCAUAUUGUUAUUUGGAACGAAUAGCAGCGUUUGAAUCGACUAGCAAAAUCUUUGAUCGAACAGCAGCAAAAUCCUGUUCGAUCGAACAGAAAAGAACAUCUUUUGAUAGGCUAGGAGUUGAUUCAGUUGAACAAACCGAUCGAAUAGCAAGAACAUUUGAUCGAUUAGAAUCUCGUUCGAACAGAAGUAAAGUUUUGGAACGGCUAGCAGGAUUCUCAAUCGAACAAGAACAGUUGAAUCGAACAGCACUUGAUAAACCGUUCGAACAAGCGAGUUGUUUAUUUGAAUUUGGAUCGAGUGGCCAACUCGAUCGGUCAGCAAAGCCACUCGAUCGGCUAGCAAUAGUUAACAUUCUUGGUUCGGCUAGCUCAACCGUUCGGCUAGCUUAUCCGAUCGGACAACGUUCAAACCGUUCGGACAGUAUCUCAUCCCAACCAAACAGACAACAUCUCAUUCCAUCAGUUCGACCAGUGUCCUAUCCGUUCGAUCGGCUCAUUCGAUCAAAGAGCAUAAAUACUUGUCAUUUCACAUUUUCAUCAAGAGUUAUUUCACAAGUUUAAACUGAUCGAUUGUUUGUGUGUUUGCAGGUGAAUCAAGGGAUUUUUACAAGGGGCAAAUUACAAGAAGUUGAAAUUGUGUGAACUUUGAGUGAAAAACAUUUUUUUUAUCAAAUCACAAUUAUCCAAAAUUUGGCAAAAAUGUUUGAUGAACAAGAAAACAUUAAACUUGAAAGAGCAAACAAUUGGUAUUGUGGAAAUAUGAGAAAUUUAAUGAUCUGGAAAAGCGAUAUAAUGAUUUACUUGAUGGUCUGAGAAUGUAUUAUGUAACGAUAUCAGACGCUGAACUGAAAUCUAAGUUUGAAGAUGCAUUACCUUUAGAGUGGGAUGAAUUUGUAUGUA
rnacentral:lncRNA from 1 species